UCCUAGUGAUUAGAGUUUGAUCAUGGCUCAGAACGUACGCUGGCGGCACGCCUAACACAUGCAAGUCGAACGAAGUAGCAAUACUUAGUGGCAGACGGGUGAGUAACAUGUAGGUAUCUGCCCUUUGGCCUGGAAUAACACGAGGAAACUUGUGCUAAUACCGGAUAAGUCUUUACGGAGAAAGCUUUAUGCACCAUUGGAUGAGCCUGCACUUGAUUAGUUUGUUGGUGGGGUAAUGGCCUACCAAGACUGUGAUCAAUAGCUGAUUUGAGAGGAUGAUCAGCCACAUUGGGACUGAGACACGGCCCAAACUCCUACGGGAGGCAGCAGUGGGGAAUCUUGCACAAUGGAGGAAACUCUGAUGCAGCGAUGCCGCGUGAGUGAAGAAGGCCCUUGGGUUGUAAAGCUCUUUCGUCGGGGAAGAAAAUGACUGUACCCGAAUAAGAAGGUCCGGCUAACUUCGUGCCAGCAGCCGCGGUAAUACGAAGGGACCUAGCGUAGUUCGGAAUUACUGGGCUUAAAGAGUUCGUAGGUGGUUGAAAAAGUUGGUGGUGAAAUCCCAGAGCUUAACUCUGGAACUGCCAUCAAAACUUUUCAGCUAGAAUUUGAUAGAGGAAAGCAGAAUUUCUAGUGUAGAGGUGAAAUUCGUAGAUAUUAGAAAGAAUACCAAUUGCGAAGGCAGCUUUCUGGAUCAUUACUGACACUGAGGAACGAAAGCAUGGGUAGCGAAGAGGAUUAGAUACCCUCGUAGUCCAUGCCGUAAACGAUGUGUGUUAGACGUUGGAAAUUUAUUUUCAGUGUCGCAGCGAAAGCGAUAAACACACCGCCUGGGGAGUACGACCGCAAGGUUAAAACUCAAAUGAAUUGACGGGGACCCGCACAAGUAGUGGAGCAUGUGGUUUAAUUCGAAGAUACGCGCAGAACCUUACCAACACUUGACAUGUUCGUCGCGACUUUAAGAGAUUAAAGUUUUCGGUUCGGCCGGACGAAACACAGGUGCUGCAUGGCUGUCGUCAGCUCGUGUCGUGAGAUGUUGGGUUAAGUCCCGCAACGAGCGCAACCCUCACUUUUAGUUGCCAUCAUUAAGUUGGGCACUCUGAAAGAACUGCCAGUGAUAAGCUGGAGGAAGGUGGGGAUGACGUCAAGUCCUCAUGGCCCUUACGUGUUGGGCUACACACGUGCUACAAUGGUAUCUACAACAGGAAGCAAGACGGCGACGUUUAGCAAAUCCUUAAAAGAUACCUCAGUUCGGAUUGCACUCUGCAACUCGAGUGCAUGAAGCUGGAAUUACUAGUAAUCGUGGAUCAGCGUGCCACGGUGAAUGCGUUCCCGGGUCUUGUACACACCGCCC
rnacentral:rRNA from 1 species